rnacentral:rRNA from 1 species
AGUGAACGCUGGCGGUAGGCCUAACACAUGCAAGUCGAACGGCAGCACAGUAAGAGCUUGCUGAUACGGGUGGCGAGCGGCGGACGGGUGCGGAAUACAUCGGAAUAUACAGUUUAGCGGGGGAUAACGCAGGGAAACUUACGCUAAUACCGCAUAUGUCCUACGGGUGAAAGCAGGGGAUCUUCGGACCUUGCGCGAUUGUAUGAGCCGACGUCGGAUUAGCUAGUUGGCGGGGUAAAGGGCCACCAAGGCUACGCUCCGUAGCGGGUCCGAAAGGAUGGAUAGGCAGACUGGAAGUGAGACACGGUCGAGACUCCGACGGUGGGCCGCAGUGGAGAAUCUUGGACGAUGGGGGAGUGGCUGAUCUUGCCAAACCGCGGGAGUGAUGAAGGACUUAUGGUUGGUGAACGCUGAUGUUGGGAGAAAAAUACAGUUGUUUAAGAGCGCACUGUACUGACGGUACCCGAAGAAUAAGCACCGGCUAACUUCGUG